GUCUAGAUCCUCCUCCUCUCCCGAUUCCCUCUCUCCCAACACCGACGCCGUCGCCUCCCCCGCAUGCCGGUCAUCCACCACUGCUGCACCCACCCUCUCCCCUUCUCAAUCUCGAUCCAGUCAGGAGAUUUGGGCUCCUGAGGUGAAUGAUUUCAUCUUGAUCUCCGACAGCGCCUACACCCGGGAGCAGAUUCUGAAGAUGGAGAAGGCCAUCUUGAUCGCCGGCCUCCCUCGCCCGGGAAGAUGACGGAGAACCACCGCUUCUAGGGUGCGUAUCCUCCUCCCGAAUCCCCCAAUUUCGCCUCCGAUCUGCUCGCGCGGUACAAUUCCGGUGCCCCCGUGCUGCUGUGGUUACCCUCUCUUGAUCUGGAUGGAGCAUUGUGCUUUCCUGCUUGUUGUUCCUGGGUCUGGGUUUGGUUCGUCUGAACAAUAGUCUCAUGGAUAUCUGGUUGGAUGGUAUUAGUUUCUCAUAUACCUUCAGUAGUCAUAACCUUCCAUGUGAUGUGUUAUCAGCUUCGAUAUAUAUUCUGAUGUGACCUGCAUUUCUUCUGAAGAUGAGCAUGCUCUGGUAAUUGGUUUAGUUUAGCGCUGCCAAUGCAUGGUUUCUGUUCUGUGUGAAGAAAUAUCCCCAUUGUGUUUGCCGUAAUACUGUGUGGUGCAUAUUUCUCUGGGGCGCUUCACGAAGCAACAUAUAUUUGUGUUUGCGAAUUUCCCAUAUAUUUGUCUGUUGAUGCAUUAGUUGUGCAGCUGCUUGUGUCCAGUGUCAGUGGCAAUUCAAGCACUGUAAUUCACUAAAAAAAUGUGGUAAAUUUUACAGAGAUAGUAUUUGCCCUUUCCUUCAUGUGGUAAUUUUGUAAGUAUGAAGAAACUUGUUAGUUUUGUCAUGAUAUCCUUCCAAUUUUUCUUCUUCUUGAAGCAUCAUUAUCCGAAGAUUGCAUUCUCAUUUAUUAUACGACUGCUUGAUUGGCAUGCAUUAAUUGUGUGUCUGUGUCUAUUGGCGAUUUCAUGUAAGUUAUAGAUAAAUAAUUUACACCGUACAAAACAAAAAAGGGUGUGACUGCUGCUCUAAAAUGUUUUCCCUGUUUGCUUUUUUCCAUUGGAUACCAUGUUGGUCUGCUAGUCUGAAACAACCAGAAAUUGAGUUGCAUGUCCAACACAACCACAGAAAUAAACACUAGCAGCACUACUGCCUAUGCUUGAUUUCUGCAGUAAACAUGUUAUCUGAAAUUAUGUAAUGAUGUUAACUGAUGUGAGUUUGUGCACUUGAUGUUUUAUACUUGGAAGACAAAUGACAACCACGGCAGCUGCGGCACCAGCAGCGCAAUGGAGAUGGAGGCCAGCCGCGUCGGUUGGAUCCCAUCCCGUCCACCCCCCUUUCUCAGCGGGGCGUGGCACUCCAGGGACCUCGUGGCUGCGGUGGCCCUUGAAGAUGGCGAGGUAGGAGACGCCUGACCUGCAGUGUCUGCGGUGGCCCUUGGACCUAGACGCCCAAGGACAAGUAUGAGUGUGUGUUGAAGGCCAAUGGCAAUCUGGAAAAGCAAGUUCAGUCCUUGGAGGAGAAGUACACCAGCGCGACACGGGCGAAUGGCAAGCAGGAGGAGGAGGUUCUGUUCCUCAAGGAGAAGUAUGAGGCUGUGCUUGAGAGGAACACCAGGCUGGAGCAGCAGGUGGCUGCUCUGUCCACUUCUUUCCUGUCUCUCAAGGGUGACUAGUGAUGCAACACACCAAGCAGUAGCAGGCAACCAAGCAGCAGCAGGGGGAGGGGCUCUCUCGAACGUCGCCGCUGCCACUCAUUGCUACUGUCACUGAUUGAUGAUGGAUGAUCGCUGUUAGUUUAGCUCGGUCGCUGUUCGUUUAGCUCCUUGGUAGUCCCUACUGCUGCUGGUAGAAAUAGAAAUGGUAGUUGUAGUCCCAUGUAGUUGUAGUACCAUGUAGUUCCUCUACUCGGGCUGCCCUUUGUUGCUUCAUUUCUAUGUUAAUUUAGUCUGUUGAAUGUAUCUACUAUCUACUUUGUGGCUGUGGCUGUUGAAAGAAAUAAAAUGGUUUGGAUACAUGCGUA